rnacentral:rRNA from 1 species
CCUACGGGAUGCACAAGUGGGGAAUAUUGCACAAUGGGCGCAAGCCUGAUGCAGCCAUGCCGGGUGUAUGAAGAAGGCCUUCGGGUUGUAAAGUACUUUCAGCGGGGAGUAAGGUGUUGUGGUUAAUAACCGCAGCAAUUGACGUUACCCGCAGAAGAAGCACCGGCUAACUCCGUGCCAGCAGCCGCGGUAAUACGGAGGGUGCAAGCGUUAAUCGGAAUUACUGGGCGUAAAGCGCACGCAGGCGGUCUGUCAAGUCGGGUGUGAAAUCCCCGGGCUCAACCUGGGAACUGCAUUCGAAACUGGCAGGCUAGAGUCUUGUAGAGGGGGGUAGAAUUCCAGGUGUAGCGGUGAACUGCGUAGAGAUCUGGAGGAAUACCGGUGGCGAAGGCGGCCCCCUGGACAAAGACUGACGCUCAGGUGCGAAAGCGUGGGGAGCAAACAGGAUUAGAUACCCUUGUAGUC